rnacentral:tRNA from 1 species
AGAUGGAGAAGUAAUAUUACAAUUAGUUUCGACCUAAUCUAAGAAUUUUUUUUUCCCCAUCUA